AGAGUUUGAUCAUGGCUCAGAUUGAACGCUGGCGGCAGGCUUAACACAUGCAAGUCGAGCGGAGAUGAGGUGCUUGCACCUUAUCUUAGCGGCGGACGGGUGAGUAAUGCUUAGGAAUCUGCCUAUUAGUGGGGGACAACAUUCCGAAAGGAAUGCUAAUACCGCAUACGUCCUACGGGAGAAAGCAGGGGAUCUUCGGACCUUGCGCUAAUAGAUGAGCCUAAGUCGGAUUAGCUAGUUGGUGGGGUAAAGGCCUACCAAGGCGACGAUCUGUAGCGGGUCUGAGAGGAUGAUCCGCCACACUGGGACUGAGACACGGCCCAGACUCCUACGGGAGGCAGCAGUGGGGAAUAUUGGACAAUGGGGGGAACCCUGAUCCAGCCAUGCCGCGUGUGUGAAGAAGGCCUUAUGGUUGUAAAGCACUUUAAGCGAGGAGGAGGCUACUGAGACUAAUACUCUUGGAUAGUGGACGUUACUCGCAGAAUAAGCACCGGCUAACUCUGUGCCAGCAGCCGCGGUAAUACAGAGGGUGCGAGCGUUAAUCGGAUUUACUGGGCGUAAAGCGUGCGUAGGCGGCUUUUUAAGUCGGAUGUGAAAUCCCCGAGCUUAACUUGGGAAUUGCAUUCGAUACUGGGAAGCUAGAGUAUGGGAGAGGAUGGUAGAAUUCCAGGUGUAGCGGUGAAAUGCGUAGAGAUCUGGAGGAAUACCGAUGGCGAAGGCAGCCAUCUGGCCUAAUACUGACGCUGAGGUACGAAAGCAUGGGGAGCAAACAGGAUUAGAUACCCCGGUAGUCCAA
rnacentral:rRNA from 1 species